rnacentral:rRNA from 1 species
UACGAAGGGUGCAAGCGUUGCUCGGAAUUAUUGGGCGUAAAGGGUAGGUAGGUGGUCUCGUUUGUCCGGGGUGAAAGCCUUGAGCUUAACUCAAGAAGUGCCUCGGAAACGGCGAGACUAGAGUACUGGAGAGGGUCGUGGAAUUCCCGGUGUAGCGGUGAAAUGCGUAGAGAUCGGGAGGAACACCAGCGGCGAAGGCGGCGACCUGGACAGUUACUGACACUCAACUACGAAAGCGUGGGGAGCAAACAGG